UGGGGAAUCUUGGACAAUGGGGGCAACCCUGAUCCAGCCAUGCCGCGUGAGUGAUGAAGGCCUUAGGGUCGUAAAGCUCUUUCGCCUGUGAAGAUAAUGACGGUAGCAGGUAAAGAAACCCCGGCUAACUCCGUGCCAGCAGCCGCGGUAAUACGGAGGGGGUUAGCGUUGUUCGGAAUUACUGGGCGUAAAGCGCACGUAGGCGGACCAGAAAGUUGGGGGUGAAAUCCCGGGGGCUCAACCCCGGAACUGCCUCCAAAACUAUUGGUCUAGAGUUCGAGAGAGGUGAGUGGAAUUCCAAGUGUAGAGGUGAAAUUCGUAGAUAUUUGGAGGAACACCAGUGGCGAAGGCGGCUCACUGGCUCGAUACUGACGCUGAGGUGCGAAAGUGUGGGGAGCAAACAGGAUUAGAUACCCUGGUAGUCCACACCGUAAAACGAUGAAUGCCAGUCGUCGGGUAGCAUGCUAUUCGGUGACACACCUAACGGAUUAAGCAUUCCGGCCUGGGGAGUACGGUCGCAAGAUUAAAACUCAAAUGAAUUGAUGG
rnacentral:rRNA from 1 species